rnacentral:rRNA from 1 species
AUAGACCCGAAACCCGGUGAUCUAGCCAUGGGCAGGUUGAAGGUUGGGUAACACUAACUGGAGGACCGAACCGACUAAUGUUGAAAAAUUAGCGGAUGACCUGUGGCUGGGGGUGAAAGGCCAAUCAAACCGGGAGAUAGCUGGUUCUCCCCGAAAGCUAUUUAGGUAGCGCCUCGUGAAUUCAUCUCCGGGGGUAGAGCACUGUUUCGGCUAGGGGGCCAUCCCGGCUUACCAACCCGAUGCAAACUGCGAAUACCGGAGAAUGUUAUCACGGGAGACACACGGCGGGUGCUAACGUCCGUCGUGAAGAGGGAAACAACCCAGACCGCCAGCUAAGGUCCCAAAGUCAUGGUUAAGUGGGAAACGAUGUGGGAAGGCCCAGACAGCCAGGAUGUUGGCUUAGAAGCAGCCAUCAUUUAAAGAAAGCGUAAUAGCUCACUGGUCGAGUCGGCCUGCGCG